rnacentral:lncRNA from 1 species
UUGGGUCAUUCGUUGCAUGAUGACCUACCCUGGUGGUCAUACUAUAAGUUUCAAACCGGAGAGUUUGAAACUGGGUUAUGGGACUUUUAUACACCGAAGCAAAAAAUAGAUCUAGCUUUAUGAUGAAGAUGUUUGGAAGAAAUAUUGUGAACUUUGAACAUUAUAAUUUUUCAACAGAUGAAACAGUUUUACAUAGUUUAUAAAAGUAUUUCUUGACAUAAUGAUUGAAAAUACUUAUUCUGAAAAGGGCUGGAUACUUUUUGUAAUAUCACAAAUAUACAGGUACUGUAGACAACAUUUAAUAGUUUGUAUUAUGGUGUUAAAGUACAAUGAAGUUACUCAAUACUGAAAAUUCUCAGUGACUCUUCCUGGUGUUAUAAUUGAACAAAAUUACUUCAUCUUUAAAAAAGAAAUAAAAUCUUCUUUUUCAGUACACAUACCAUAUCUAGAGAUGACACGAGACUUUAGACCUGUCAAAAUUAAAGGAAUGGCAGAGUGUCAUCUUAGAAACACAUAAUAGAAUGUCCUGUUGGAGGAACGAUAGAAUGUCAGACUGGGCAGAAUGUCAUGUUAAAGAAACAGCAGAAUGUCAUGUUAAAGGAAUAGCAGAAUGUUAUAACAGAGGCAGAGAAAACAAUAAGGCUUUAAGCUCGACUACAGGCAGCGCAAGGCCAUUCCAUGAUAAAAUUGGAAGAGGAAUUGUCAACCGAGAUCAAAAGGGAAUAACCCGAGGUUUGAGUACGGGCGGUGCAGGACCAUUCCAUGCAUCUUUCAAUGGAGGUGGUAUGUCCUUUCGUGAUGAUCCAUGGUACCAACUACCAGGCUUGGGCUACUAUCAGAUUGGAUGGAUUACGCAUCAUGAGUCAUCAAUUUGUUCACGCUGCCGUGGAACCAUUAGCAUGGGUUGGAUUUCAUCCUGAUCUACUUCUAAGUUCGGGCCAUGGUUUCUUCAGAAAAGAUACCUGCUUAGGAAUAACAGCCGCAAAAUUAAAGUUUAGUGGAGAGCAGUAUGGUACCUAUACAUGGUCCAGACAGGAGGAAAAUGGAAACACCAGGUCUUGUCAGACAUACAGUUAAGAUCAUAGAAAGAUGACUGGUUUUAAAGAUGCUGUACAACAUAAUAAGAGUCAGUCUUCCAAAAUAUAAUGCACACUUGGCCAUUAUCAUGACAGUACUGAUGGUACAACAUAGCCAAAGUUUCGUAUACAUGCAACACCAAACAAGUUGUCCAGUUGAAUUUGAAUUUUCUAGAUGCAGAAUCAACACAGCAUUAAUGUGCAAGCAGCCUGCUUAAAAAAAGUUUGCGAGUUACAUUGGAACUUGAUGGGAACACACCAAUACUGGGUAUCAAGCAACACAGAGGCAUUGUAUUGGAUAUCCUGGCAAAUAAGGUACCUAGUGUAGCUAAGAGAAACUGACAGUCAUAAAGAAUUACUUCUGACAGAUUACUGACACAAAGAUUGAAAGAAAUGAAUGAACAAUUGACAGUUUUAAAGCAAUUAUUUGAUUUUUUUCAAUUUUUAAAGAAUUAAGCUGAAUUUUUCUCGUAAUAGGUAUUUGUAUAGAAUGUCCAUUGAACAUGUUUUACUUUGUGUAAGUGGGUGCAGAGCCAGAAGUAAGUUUCAUAAGGAUAUUUUCUAAAUGUUUUGUAAAUAUAGAUACUUAGUUGUAAUAGAUAUUUCUAUUUUUAGCUCACCUGUCUGGAAGUGACAAGGUGAGCUAUUGUGACCGCUUGAUGUCCGUCGUCCGACA